GAUGAACGCUAGCGAUAGGCUUAACACAUGCAAGUCGAGGGGCAGCAUGGUCUUAGCUUGCUAAGACUGAUGGCGACCGGCGCACGGGUGCGUAACGCGUAUGCAACUUGCCUCACAGAGGGGGAUAACCCGUCGAAAGACGGACUAAUACCGCGUACACUUGGGAUAGGGCAUCCUGACCCAAGGAAAUGAAAUUCGCUGUGAGAUAGGCAUGCGUCCCAUUAGCUAGUUGGUGAGGUAACGGCUCACCAAGGCGACGAUGGGUAGGGGAACUGAGAGGUUGAACCCCCACACUGGUACUGAGACACGGACCAGACUCCUACGGGAGGCAGCAGUGAGGAAUAUUGGUCAAUGGGCGAGAGCCUGAACCAGCCAAGUCGCGUGAAGGAUGACUGUCUUAUGGAUUGUAAACUUCUUUUAGACGGGAAUAACAAGAGUCACGUGUGGCUCCCUGCAUGUACCGGAUGAAUAAGCAUCGGCUAACUCCGUG
rnacentral:rRNA from 1 species